rnacentral:pre_miRNA from 1 species
UCACCUCCACAGGCUGCCAGCCUCCAGGCUGGGCUGGGCGAGUAUCCUUUCGAAAGGCUUGCCCUCAAGCACGACUAGCAGC